AUGCAUCAUCUCAUGCACAACCGUAGACAUCAUUUCACAUCUUUGGCCAAUGGAAAUGUUCUGUGAUCCCCCCUGCAUUCCUACGUAAGACCAGCAUCUAAAGAGAAAAAAUCAAUGGAAUAGCUCAUUUAAAAGGAAAUGACAAACAUGUUCGCAGUUCAUAUUCCCGCCUCGCUUCGUCAAUCGCUGCUUUUGCCUGUGAAUUGGAAAACAAAACGAUAUCAUUGGCCUGGGUGGUUAUACAAAUAGGGACUUAAGCCUGAUGCAAAACAAAUACUUGCAAAACGAAUAUUCGUUAUGUAAUGCUAGCUAUGUUUUUGUUUCUCUUGUUAUUUGCGUGGAUGUGGUUGCCAUCAGGGUAAGGGGCAAGUUACAACAAGUAAAAACAAAACCCUCGUCUUGUGCGUGACAAUUACUUUCUUAUGCGGACAUUUAAAUAAAAAGUGGUGAUAUAAAAUGAAUGUGUGACUAUUUGACGUAAUUGGUAGAUUAUUCCAACGAGUUGUACAAUCGUAAAAAUUAUUUUUGCAACAACUGCUGUAUUAUUGAUGUUUUAGUCAUGUUAGUGAAAAUUAAAGGUUUUAUGUUGCGCGUAUCUGCAUAGC